rnacentral:rRNA from 1 species
UACAGAGGAGCCAAGCGUUGUCCGGAUUGACUGGGCGUAAAGCGCACGCAGGCGGGGGUGCGCGUGGGGUGUGAAAUCUGGCCGCUUAACGGCCAGGCGCCAUCCCAUACGGCACGCCUGGAGCCUUGCAGAGGUCGGUGGAAUUGCCGGUGUAGUGGUGAAAUGCGUAGAGAUCGGCAGGAACACCCAGGGGGGAAACCAGUCGACUGGGCAUCUACUGACGCUGAGGUGCGAGAGCGUGGGGAGCGAACCGG